rnacentral:lncRNA from 1 species
CCUGAAAUACCAGUUUGUGAAAAAGCUGCCAGUCACCUCCUGGGCUCCACCAUGGUCGUCAUACAGGUGGAAAUACGGUCUUCUUUGUCUCUGGGAUGACUGUAGACUACACUUGUGACCCUGGCUAUUUGCUUGUGGGAAACAAAUCCAUUCACUGUAUGCCUUCAGGAAAUUGGAGUCCUUCUGCCCCACGGUGUGAAGAACAUGCCAGCAUGUGAGACAGA